UACGUAGGGUGCGAGCGUUAAUCGGAAUUACUGGGCGUAAAGCGCACGUAGGCGGCUUUGCAAGUUAGAGGUGAAAGCCCGGGGCUCAACUCCGGAAUUGCCUUUAAAACUGCAUCGCUAGAAUUGUGGAGAGGUAAGUGGAAUUCCGAGUGUAGAGGUGAAAUUCGUAGAUAUUCGGAAGAACACCAGUGGCGAAGGCGACUUACUGGACACAUAUUGACGCUGAGGUGCGAAAGCGUGGGGAGCAAACAGG
rnacentral:rRNA from 1 species